UGGUUUCAAACGACGGACCUUGCACUUAGCAGCUCGAUAUGGAAGCACUCCGCCACCAGGUGAUUGGAAUCGGCUUGAUGGCACAGAGCAAGAUAUACAUGGCUGACAACUGAGAAUGUUUCCCAUUCUCAGAUCUCCUUGGCAGACGACAAUAUGUAGCUAGAGGAGGGACCAGGCUCUGGAGAAGGACCUCAUGGUUGGAGACGUAGAGGGGAAGAGCCUUGACAAGAGGGACUGGCACGGUGGCUGCCACGCUGGGCUUGGAUAUGCGGGACCGGGUGGUGUCUCCUUCUGUGAAGUCCAAGGUCACCAGGAGUUGGAAAUGACUCAACAGCUCCAGCUUCAGGAAACAGUCGUCAGCUUCGAUGUGUGCGAUUCAGUGACACAGACUUUGAGUGUGGAUUUUUCCAGAAGUCUACACCUGAAAGUACUUCCUGAACAAGAGACUCAGUGAGAGGAAGCCACGGUAAGGAAGGAAACAGAAGCUGGAUGACCAGCCACGUGGUCAAGGUCAUCCUUGCUGAAUGAUGCAUUUACCCAGGGGGUUAUUCCCGGGCCACUUCCAUAAGGAUGAGAGGGAUGUGAGCUCUUUUCAGUAAUGAACAUCGUCUGUGCAUAUAGAUGCUACCUGCCCACGGGGCAUGCUUGGAACACAGUCCUAGCGCAGUCUUCUAAGGAAGAUGCACACAGGUCAAGAGGGUUCCAAGGAGGCCCACGGAGACCCAGUCAGCGCGUGGAGAGGUGGAAGCCAGCAGCUCACUUCCGUGCUCAGGGGCGCACUGCUCCCCCAUCCUGCAGGAGGGAGGGUUCCGCCGCCUCAGAGUUCGGGUGGCAGCCUUCCCGUCGUCACAGCGUUGGUGAAGUGGCAGCCAGAAGCACAGCUUUUGCUUUGACUGUGGGUGUGGGAAAGGGACUCAGCGGUCUUCCUUCCCUAAGAGGAGGGACAUAUUUAGAGGUAGCAUUUGUCUCAGGAUCUGUAGGGCUUGAUAGGUGGGGUGGACAGAGGAUGGACUUGGCGUGGGGCUCGGAGGCAUCCCUGUCUGUUGGUCAAGCCUACCAAAUAGGGCACCAGCACCAGCACUCUCAAGUCUGGGUACCACGGAUGAUGCGCUCCCCCCACCCCGUGACACCCACCCUAGAGAGCCUCAGACAGAAGCACACUGUUGAAGAUGGCCAGGCCUGAUGGUAUUUGUUGUGUUGCAUGAGGUACUUGGAUUCAGGACUGGCUGGCACCUAACAAAACCACAGAGGCACCCAGAGCUGAGCUGUUUCGACCAACAGAGGGUACGCUUGUUCCUGUUUGGAUGUGUCUUACGGGUUUUCGCUUUUUUUUUUUUCAAAAAAGAGAAAACUUUUCUCCCCCUAUCUAUUUUAAAGUCAUUAUACAUUCUGCGGCUUGGUCUUAACACCAUUCUUCACAGCUUAAGAAGCCUUGCCAGUUCCGUGACCCAUCUCCCUUCCUCCUCUCUUCCCUCCUCAGUCACACCCCCAAUAAACGCAAAUCUGCUGAAGUUCCCAGCACUCAGGGGUCUCCCCAUUCAAACACCCUCCUGACAGAAGGUAUCAAUUUACAGUCCCACCCCCUGCAGGGGAGAGGGUCCCUUUGACCCCCACAAACACUCAGCAUUGGAAUUAAUUUUUAAAGGGCCUUUGCCAAUUUAAUAAGGGCAAAAUGGCAUCUCGUUUGUUGCUUUGAGUUGAGCUAUUUAUGGAAUGUCAGUGCAUGUAUUUCAUCCGUUUUGCAGUUUGAGUAUUAGAAUUCUAAAGACAAACGUUCAGCAACUUAAAAAGAAAAAGAUCAGUUCUGUGUUUUUUAAAACAAGCCCCCAGCUUGUGUCCUUAUGUGUCUCCUGUAUGUCAUUCAGCAUAGCAUUUUUGCUUUUUAAAUUUUCUAUUGUGAUUAGGCGAGGGUUUGCAUUUUGUAUUCUACAGUUUUAACAAGUUAUCAGCCUUCCCACUUAGCAGCCUGCCCUGCACCCCCAUUUUCUCAUCUUCCUCUUGUCAGGUGCUACCCACCCCCUCACCAAGUUGUCACCUCUCUACCCUCUACCCAUUUAUCCCCAAUACCCCUCCCUUCCCCUCCUACCACCGGCAGCCAUCAAAGUCGAUUUCUUUGGGUAUAAUACCCUUUAUCCUAAUUUCUUAUAACAGUGACCUCGUACCAUAGUUUGUGUUUGACUGACCUCACUCAGCGUAAUGCCCUCUGAAUCCAUCCAUGUCAGCAGGUGCUUCACAGGUUCACCGUUAUUUUUAGUGACGCGCAGUUUUCCACCGCGUGUGGGUACCAGAGUUUAUGCGUUCAUUCUUCUGCUGACAGAAGGAUUUUGGUUGUUCCCAUCUUCUUGCUUUUGUUAACAGUGCUGCAAUGAACAUGAGUGGGCAUAGACCUGUUUGCGCUGUGUUUGUUCUUUCUCUUUUUAAAAUUGUGAAUUAGGUGUGAGUAUUUCUGUAGAACAUAUCCCAAGAGAGGGAUUGCUGGGUCGUAUGAGAUUCCCAAUUGUUUGAGGAAGCACCAUAUUGCUCUCCACAGUAGCUGUAGUGUUUUAUAGUCCCACCAGCAAUGAACGAGGCUUCUAAUCUCACCAGACCCUCUCCAGCAUUUGUCAUUUUCUUUCUUUUUUAAAAUAAAUCAU